rnacentral:rRNA from 1 species
UCGAGAAUCAUUCGCAAUGGGCGAAAGCCUGACGAUGCGACGCCGUGUGAACGAAGAAGGCCUUAGGGUUGUAAAGUUCUUUCGCCUGGGAACAAGAGAUGUCGGUUAAUAACCGGCAAAUUUGAGGGUACCAGGUAAAGAAGCACCGGCUAACUCCGUGCCAGCAGCUGCGGUAAUACGGAGGGUGCAAGCAUUAAUCGGAUUUAUUGGGCGUAAAGAGCGCGUAGGCGGAGAUGCAAGUCAGACGUGAAAUCCCGGAGCUCAACUCCGGAACUGCAUUUGAAACUGCAUCCCUAGAGGGUAGGCGGAGAAAACGGAAUUCCACAUGUAGCGGUGAAAUGCGUAGAUAUGUGGAGGAACACCGGUGGCGAAGGCGGUUUUCUAGCUUAUUCCUGACGCUGAGGCGCGAAAGCAAGGGGAGCAAACAGGAUUAGAUACCCUGGUAGUCCUUGCCGUAAACUAUGUGUACUUGGUGUAGUCGGACUCAACCCUGACUGUGCCGUAGCUAACGUGUUAAGUAUACCGCCUGGGGAGUACGCUCGCAAGGGUG